CGCAUACCGCAAGUCUGGAGGCGAAAACCGUGAAGGAGUGCGCGCGGACCGCCGCGUCUGCAACUCCAGGACCGAUGGAGAAAGAGUUGGGGAGGUUGUCCCCUGCCCAAGGUCAUGCAGAACUAAGUGACCCAGUCAGCAUUUGACCCCAGGUGAAUCUGACUCCAAACCCCAAACGGAUUUCUCUUUAUCAUCCUCCUGAUCACAUUUCUCCUGACAUGACUGGACAGCAGCCUGAGAGACUCAGCAUCGCACUGCUCUCUUCCCGGCCCGCUUUAGCAAUAUCUUGACUUUGUGGCAUUUCCCAGAGUUCCUAAAACAGGAGCCUGUUUAUUCGCUAGGAGAAAAAAGAAGAAAAAGACCGAGGUGUAUUCAGAAAAACAUAUACUCAUAGUUUGAAUUUCUCCUCCUCCCAAUAAUAGCCGGCAGUGUUUACCAAGCACUUAGUACUCACCAGACUCUGUCCAAAGCACUGGCGUGUACUCAUUUAUUCAGUCCUCACCACCCUGUUUGGUCAAUGCUAUUUUAUCUUCAUUUCACUGAAGGGCAAUCUGAUUCUCAGAUGUGGAAAAUCUGGAUAAAUAUAAUUUCUGUUUUGAACUCUGCCUGUGCAUUCUCUCCCUCCCCAUCCUCUACCCACCUUUCAACAUUAGAAAAUAAAACUCACCAUCAUUUAAACAGAAAAAUGAAUUUUAUUAGAGCCACAAACUAAAUACAGUUAGGCCUUCCUCAUAACACUAAUAUUGUUCGUAACUUAAAGUGUUUAUGUGUAUGGUAGCGGUGGUGGUUUAGUUGCUAGGUUGUGACCGACUCUUGUGACCCCAUGGACUCCAGACUGCUGGGCUCCUCUGUCCAUGGAACUUCCCAGGUAAGAAUACUGGAGUGGGUUGCCAUUUCCUUCUCCAGGGGAUCUUUCCAACCCAGGGAUUGAACUCAGGUCUCCUGCAUUGGCAGGCAGAUUCUGUACCACUGAGUUACCUGGCACCUAUGUCCACGGCAGCUUACUAAAACUGGCAGAUUUUUUUCUUUUCCACGUCUCUGAAGCACAUGACUUUUCGCAAAUGGAUGCAG
ensembl:lncRNA